GCUGAAGAGAAAUAGGCAGAGUGAUUUAUCUUGACACAAAUAUAUUUACUCCAUGGUGCUUACAUUACACUCUUUACAAGGAGUUGAGCACUCUCAUAGAUCACAGCAUGUAAAAUGUGUACUCCUAUUCCCUUGACAAUCACCCAAGCAUAAAUUGUAGGCACAACAAAAUAUAUUCAUAGAGGGUUGAAGAAAAGAAAGGUAAAAACA
rnacentral:misc_RNA from 1 species